UCUCAAAAAUAUUUCGCUCUCUUUCGACACUACCAAGCCUCACCCCGCUCACCACCGUCAUUGUCCACCGGCGAGAGAGACCGUCGCACAUCGCCACAGCCACCUAUAAAGCAUCAACGCCACUUAAUCACAGAGUGAAAAUGGCUGGUCAUCAGGUCACCUUGAAAGGUCCAGGGGUGAUUAAGGAGAUUUGUUUGGGGAUUAUAAUCGGUCUGUCUGUUGUCAGCGUGCAGAAGAAGAAACAGUGAGACAUGAAGAAAAGAACCACAGGAUUCUAUGACUCGCUCAAUAAAGAUGGCUUUUGGCAUGGAGUUGUGGAUAUUCCAUUUUUGUGGACGGAUGACAAUUUACACUUUUGAAAACUCUUGCAUUUUUGUCGUCCUCUGCUUUUUGUGUAGGUUUGUAUUAAUUGUACAGAAUACUUUUGGCGGGGUACAUAAUAUUUUUGCCUUUGAGCAGAUAAUUGAUGUCGUGAUCUAUUGAUUAGCUUUUGUCGUGGUACAUAUUACCAUGGUAUUUUGUACCAUGCCAAACAGUCAUUUGGCAUAGUAGUAAAUAUAUUUUUGUAUACGGAGGAUGAAAUUUUCCUAUGAUCAUUUAUGUUAUGUAUGGAAUUAUUAUUUUAAAUUGGAAUUAAUGUAUUUGAUUUGUAUGGAAUUAUUGACAU